GAGAGGCAAUCUUAUUGCGAACGAAUAUGCUCUUUUAUUGUCAAUGUGUUGGUAGGGCUAUCUCAAUUUGCAACGACCUUGCUAUUUUUAGUCGGAUGGUGUUGGAGCAUCGGCUGGGGCGUGACCAUGAUCCAAUUAGCACAUUGGAAUGAACACGACCAACGGAACAAACGCUCAAAUAAUCAAUGCACUCAACCUACCCUCGGUUUUGAAAUCAAAGGUGAUAUUAACCGUAUCGCCACGCUUGACAAUGCAAGGGGGUCCUGUAGAACCAUCGCAACGAAAUCGGGAGAUCCAUCCCGGACGACUGCUUUCUCGGCGACGGCAUCCCUCGAUGUCCAAUCCCACCACUCGGUUAGCUCCGGCUAAUCCAUCCAGUAUGAGACCGAUAUCAAUUGACCAGGGUGAAAUCUAAAAAGGUUUGAUUCCCAUACCUUGACAUUCCUCCCAACAAACUUUGGCAAAUGCACCUCCACAUGCAAUAGUCAAGAGCCCGAUACAUAUGAGAAAUAGAUAGCUCUUUGUUAAUGAA